CCCUUAGAUGUUCUGGGCCGCACGCGCGCUACACUGAUGCAUUCAACGAGUUUCUUCCUGGUCCGAGAGGAAUGGGUAACCUUUUGAAAGUGCAUCGUGAUAGGGAUAGACUAUUGCAAUUAUUGGUCUUCAACGAGGAAUUCCUAGUAGACGUAGUUCAUCAGACUGCAUCGAUUACGUCCCUGCCCUUUGUACACACCGCCCGCCGCUCCUACCGAUUGAAUGCUCAGGUGAGCCAUUCGGACUUUCAUCAUGCUGGUUUCCAGUUUUGAUGAAGGAAAGUCUUGCGAACCUUAUCAUUUAGAGGAAGGAGAAGUCGUAACA
rnacentral:rRNA from 1 species